AAAAUAAUUAGAAUGUGACAGGUGAAAUGUUUAUCCAGCUGUCUAUAUUAACAGGAGCUUUGCCAAAUAGGUGGUCGAGUCUCAACGAUGGCAGAUCUGGCUCUGUUAUUAGAGGACCUCAACGCACGUCUAAGACGAGAGAGUUUUUCGAGACCGCGCCGAUUUUUUUUAUGGAGAGCGAUGAAUGGCUCUUGAGUCGUUUUCGUCUCCCAAGGCAUCUCCUGAUGGAGCUAUGCAAUGCUUUGGAGCCACACUUUCAGCGGGAGAUCAGGGACAGGUCUGGUAUUUCCCAGCCAAGUAUUAGCCGAACCAUGACAGCAGUUUUGGCAGCUAUAAUGUCCCUCUCCGAACGUUAUAUUAAAUUCCCAUAUAAUAACGAUCAGCAAACUGGAAUCAAACAGGAUUUUUAUGCUAUUGCUAGGUUUCCAAAUGUGAUUGGUGCGGUUGAUUGUACCCAUGUGCGUAUGAAGCCACCAUCUAUUAAUGAUUACGCGUACAUCAACCGCAAAAGCUACCAUUCAGUUAAUGUUCAGAUUAUUUGCGAUGCCAGAAUGUCAA